AAAAGCACCAGGUCCCUGUGUUGGGAUGGAGUUGUCCCUUUGCUCCAGAAAUCUCUCAGAUUUUGGACCUUUCCGCAAUGAGCCGUGCUGGGGGGACCCAGCUGCAGGGAAGGGGAUGGCUCAGGGGAUGGCUCGGGCUGGAUGGCAGCCAGGAUGGGCUGGUUUGCCUCAAGUUUCCCCACUCCCUCCCCCAUUUCCCUGACAAUCCCUCUCCUGUUCCUUUGCCUCAUCUCCAGCUCCAGAAUUCCGAGCUCUCCCUGCCGUGAAUCACCAGCUCAGAGGCUUCCACAGGAACAAACCCGUCAGCCGAGAGCAGGAAUGGAUUUUUUAAUUCCCUUUUUCUCCCAUAACCACCCUUGCCAUGAUUUUUUCUGGGCUCCACGGUUUUCUGCCAGGCUCUGAGCUUUCAGCCCGGGAAGGUUUGGUGGGAAUGAGGAAGGUUUGGUGGGGCUGGGCGUGUCUGUGUGUGUAUAUACGUGUAUGUAAUUAAUGUAUAUGUAGAGAUGUAUAGAUGGGCACGGGGCUGGGAGCUCUGCUGCUGAGGAGGAGGAGGAGGAGGAAAGGGAGGAGGAAAACGAGGAAAGGGAGGAGGAAAAUGAGGAAAGGGAGGAGGAAUUGUCCUCCAGCACCACGUGCUGGGCCCUGCAGCCCUCGGCCCCUGUCCUAGGGAAUGUGAGAUUGAGCCUCAUUCUCUGCCCAAGGGACGUGGGAUUCCCUGCCCAAGGAAUGUGGGAUUUGGCCUCAUUCCCUGCCCCAAGGGAUGCGGGAUUUCCUGUCCCAAGGAAUGCUGGAUUCAGCCUUGUUCCCUGUCCCAAAGGAUUCAGGAUUCCCCCUCAGCCCCUGUCCCAAGGGACGUGGGAUUCUCUGUCCAAGGCAUGUGGGAUUCAGCCUUGGCCCCGCUCUCAAGGGAUGCAGGAUUCCCUGCCCAAGGAAUGUGGGAUUCCCUAUCCCAAAGGAUUUGGGAUCCAGCCUCGGCCCUUAUCCCAAGGGAUGCAGGAUUUCCCCUCGUUCCCUGUCCCAAGAGAUACAGGGUUUCCCCUUGGCCCUUAUCCCAAGGGAUGUGGGAUUCCAUCUCUCAAAUUCCUGCUGCUCCUCCUUCCCUUUCCUGCCCUUCACAUCCCCCCGACCCUGAUCCUAGUCCUGGUGAUCCCAUUCCCAGUGAUCCCAACCCCGCUGAUCCCAGCCUCGGUGAUCCCAGUCCCAGUGAUCCCAGCCCCGCUGAUCCCAGCCCCAGUGAUCCCAGUCCCGCUGAUCCCAGUCCCAGUCUCAUCAGUCAGGAUCAGCUGGGGUUGGGAUCGGGAUCCUUUUGCUGCUGCCAGGGCCGGAGCAGAUCCGGGCUGGGAUCCCGGGAUGGAUCCGAAGCCCCGUGAGCUCCCGAGCUCCCCCAGGCUCGUGCUGGCAGCUCCCCCGUCUCUGCCUCAGUCUGCAGCGUCCAAACUUUUCAUUUCUGCUCAUUUUUCCCAUUAUUUUGAUUUUUGGGUAAAACAGCCCCGAUUUUUUCACUCCCCACACUCCAGCGCUUCUCCCAAGGCCUCCAGGGUGCCGGGGGUUUUUCCUGCAGCAAUUCCCCCCCUUGAGGGUCCCCCUGGCCGAAGUGACCCCAGCCCAGCUGACAAUCAAACCAGACUCCCGAAAAACAGGAAUCCAUUGCAGUUUGAUAGAAAAACUUUUUAAAAUCCCCCCCUUCUCUCUCACCACCACAUCUCCAGGAUAAACCAUCACCCACUGCUCCUCCUGUAAAUAGACAUCGAACCUUCUUGUAUAAAUUAAAAAUAAAAUAAUUUUAAAAAAAGACAAAAAAAAUUCCAUUGAUAAACAUCCCAAAAAUAAAAUUUAAAAAAAAUCUCCCUUUCCAGAAGAUUGAAGUAAUUCCAACUUCACUUUUUUUUCGAGCUGAUUUCCAAUCCCAGCAGGAGAACAAAACAAAGAUCUGGAACACUGCAAAUGUUGGAGCUUUCAAUGAAUCCGGGAGGGGAAAAAAAUGCAUGUAAAUAUUUUUAAUAGGAGACAUAUCUUAAACAGAACUUUUUUUUGUAUGUACAUAACUCUCCUAGAGUUUAGUACUCAAAUGGCUUCAUAGUGUCUGUUUCGAAAAGGAAAGGAAAAGAAAAUGUUUGUUAACUGUUUUUGUUCUUACUCAAUGGCCAAAACUUUAAAAAUAAUGACAAAAAAAAAAAAGAAAAAAAAGACUCUAAAAAUAAUCUUUGCCAAUGGAUCUAGCACUGUAAUGGUACUGUCUAUUUUUUUUAAUUAUUUCUGUGCUGUGCCCAUUUAUAAAAUGAGGAAAAGAUAAAAAAUAAAGUCAUUUAAACAUUGUCUGCCCAGG
rnacentral:lncRNA from 12 species